rnacentral:misc_RNA from 1 species
GAAUGAAGAACGUAGCGAAAUGCGAUAAGUAAUGUGAAUUGCAGAAUUCAGUGAAUCAUCGAAUCUUUGAACGCACAUUGCGCCCUCUGGUAUUCCGGGGGGCAUGCCUGUUCGAGCGUCAUUAUAACCACUCAAGCUCUCGCUUGGUAUUGGGGUUCGCGGUUUCGCGGCCCCUAAAAUCAGUGGCGGUGCCUGUCGGCUCUACGCGUAGUAAUACUUCUCGCGAUUGAGUUCGAUAGGUCUACUUGCCAGUAACCCCCAAUUUUUACGGGUUGACCUCGGAUCAGGUAGGGAUACCCGCUGAACUUAAGCAUAUCAAUAAGCGGAGGA